rnacentral:tRNA from 1 species
GCGGGGUAGUGCAGCGGUUACCACGGUUGGUUAGUGUCCAACAGGCGCGAGUUCGAAUCUUGCCCCCGCUA